rnacentral:rRNA from 1 species
CGACGCUCAUGCUCGAAGGCGCGGGUAUCAAACAGGAUUAGAUACCCUGGUAGUCCGCGCGGUAAAACGAUGGACACUCGGGAUUUGCCCUAUUGGGUGAGUCCCCCAGCGAAAGCGUUAAGUGUCCCACCUGGGGAGUACGCCGGCAACGGUGAAACUCAAAGGAAUUGACGGGGGCCCGCACAAGCGGAGGAACAUGUGGUUUAAUUCGAUGAUACGCGAGGAACCUUACCCGGGCUUGAAAUGUGCAUGACGACCCCGAGAGACCGGGGUCUCCUUCGGGCAUGCAUGUAGGUGCUGCAUGGUUGUCGUCAGCUCGUGCCGUGAGGUGUCGGCUCAAGUGCCAUAACGAGCGCAACCCCUUCCGCCGGUUACCAUCGGGUUAUGCCGGGGACUCCGGCGGCACUGCCGCCGCAAGGCGUGAGGAAGGCGGGGAUGACGUCAAAUCAGCACGGCCCUCACGUCCGGGGCCACACACGUGUUACAAUGGGGGGCACAGCGAGCGGGAUGAUGGCGACAUCAUUCGAAUCAACAAAUCCCCUCCCAGUUCGGACUGGAGUCUGCAACCCGACUCCACGAAGCCGGAUUCGCUAGUAAUCGC